UAUGGAAGUGAUGAGUUUUUAUUACCGCCCCAGUCUGAAGAUUCAUGACUGAUUGGUACCCCUCUGAUCAAC
rnacentral:snoRNA from 1 species